GGAAGAUCCGGAUAGUGCAUCCCGGCCACGGCGCGCCUGCUCUGGGCUCUCCGCGUGCCGCGUCGCUUUCUUUUCUUCCUCUGGAGCAGUUAUGGCGGCGGCGAAGACCCUGAACCCCAAGGCCAAGGUGGCCGGAGCGCAGGCGGCGCUGGCGUUCAACAUUAGCGGGGCGCGGGGUCUGCAGGACGUGCUGAGGACCAACCUGGGGCCCAAAGGGACCAUAAAGAUCAAAUUCAACACCCAACAGCUUCCUUAAUAGCAAAGGUAGCAACAGCCCAGGAUGAUAUAACUGGUGAUGGUACGACUUCCAAUGUCCUAAUCAUUGGAGAGCUGCUGAAACAGGCAGAUCUCUACAUUUCUGAAGGCCUUCAUCCCAGAAUAAUCACUGAAGGAUUUGAAGCUGUGAAGGAAAAGCCCUUCAUUUUUUGGAAGAAGUCAAAGUAAGCAGAGAGAUGGACAAGGAAACACUUAAAGAUGUGGCCAGGGCAUCUCUUUGUACUAAAGUUCAUGCUGAACUUGCAGAUGUCUUAACAGAGGCUGUAGUGGGCUCCAUUUUGGCCAUUAAAAGAAAAGAUGAACCUAUUGAUCUCUUCAUGAUUUUGUGAUCAUUGACAAGAAACAUAAAUCUGAAACUGAUACAAGAGAAGUGAAUUCUGGCGUUUUUUACAAGAGUGCAGAAAGAGAAAAACUCAUAAAAGCUGAAAGAAAAUUCAUUGAAGAUAGAGUUAAAACAAAUAAUAGAACUGAAAAGGAAAGUCUGUAGUAAUUCAGAUAAAGGAUUUGUUAUUAAUCAAAAGGGAAUUGACCCCUUUUCCUUAGAUGCUCUUUCAAAGAAGGCAUAGUCGCUCUUCACAGAGCUAAAAGGAGGAAUAUGGAGAGGCUGACUCUUGCUUGUGGUGGGGUGGCCCUGAAUUCUUUUGAGGACCUAAGUCCUGACUGCUUGAGACAUGCAGGACUUGUAUAUGAGUAUACAUUGGGAGAAGUUCACCUUUAUUGAGAAGUGUAACAACCCUCGUUCUGUCACAUUAUUGAUCAAAGGACCAAAUAAGCCCACACUUAGAUCAAAGAUGCAGUAAGGGAUGGCUUGAGGGCUGUCAAAAAUGCUAUUGAUGAUGGCUGUGUGGUUCCGGUGCUGGUGCCGUGGAAGUGGCAAUGGCAGAAGCCCUGAAUAAAUAUAAGCUCAGUGUAAAGGGCAAGGCACAGCUUGGAGUCCAAGCAUUUGCUGAUGUGUUGCUCGUUAUUCCCAAGGUUCUUGCGCAGAAUUCUGGUUUUGACCUUCAGGAAACAUUAGUUAAAAUUUAAGCAGAACAUUCAGAAUCAGGUCAGCUCGUGGGUGUGGACCUGAACACAGGUGAGCCCGUGGUAGCAGCAGAAGCAGGCAUUAUGGGAUAACGAUUGUGUAAAGAAACAGCUUCUUCAUUCCUGCACUGGUUGCCACCAACAUUCUCUUGGUUGAUGAGAUCAUGCGAGCUGGAAUCUUCUCUGAAAGGUUGAAUUGAAGCUUCCUCUGUAUCUGAGUCUUGAAGACUCUGCAAAGUGAUCCUGAAGAAUACAGCUGUGGAAUUUUUGUCCAAGCUUCAAAUGAGUUUCAAGGGAAUUUUCCCAUGUGAAAAAAGGAGAGAACACUGGCAUCUGUUGAAAUUCGGAAGUUCUGAAAUUAUAAUCACAGUAUUUUUUAAAAAUUGCACUGAAGUGUACACAGAUAAAGCAGGUCUUUCACCCAGUGAACAGGAUGUUUUGCUUUAGCAGCAGUGACAUAAAAUUCCAUGUUAAAUAAGCAUAUAUUACCUACCUUAUUAAAUAUUCCUUGAAAAAGCAGAUUUUAAUGGUUUAAUUUUAUGUGGACAUAUGUUAAAUUAUUCAGCAGUACCCUAUUGUUAAGCAUCUGGUUUUAAAAUUUUUAUGCUAAUAUAAAUAACGCUUAGUAAUUUAAAAUUUUGGAAGCAUCCCGUUAGUGUAAAUUUCUGAGUAAAUUUAUUGAUCAGUUGGACUUUUCACGCUUUUGAAAUAGCUUUGCUAAAAUGCUCCCCCUACAAAGUUGUAGGAAAUGGGAAGAGGAGUAAACUAGAGGCAAGGGAGUUGAGAGAGCUGGAAGGCAUGGUGGCUAAGGGCUACGGUUAUCAGGUGAAAUUUGAGAUUUGUAGGCUGACUAUAUUUUCAAGCUUCUGAACUUUUGCUUAUGCAAAAUAUUCAUCCCAAAGCCUCUAGCGUCAUAGUUUCCUCACCCAAAUUACUAUGUUUCCACAAGAUUUAUAUAGUUGGUCUAUCUCUGCGGUCCUUGAAAGUGAAGUUGGUGUUACUAGGCUGUGGGUUUUGGGGGCUCAGCAGUGACCUGGAGUGUGCAAAUAAAUGUUAAGUUGAAACC
ensembl:lncRNA novel transcript